GUGGGUAUAGCUCAGUUUGGUUAGAGCAUCAGAUUGUGGCUCUGGGGGCCGAGGGUUCGAGUCCCUCUACCCACC
rnacentral:tRNA from 1 species